UAUGAUGGGUGUCACUUUAUUGUACUUGU
rnacentral:piRNA from 1 species